rnacentral:Y_RNA from 1 species
GGCUGGUCCAAGUGCAGUGGUGUUUACAACUAAUUGAUUGCAACCAGUUACAGAUUUCUUUGUUCUUUCUCUACUCCCACUGCUUCACUUGAUUGCACUUAA